rnacentral:rRNA from 1 species
AGGGUGUAAACGCUGCAGACUUGGUGUUGGGAACCCUUCGGGGGUGCUCAGUGCCGGAGAGAAGUUGUUAAGUCUGCUACUUGGGGAGUACGUCCGCAAGGAUGAAACUUAAAGGAAUUGGCGGGGGGAGCACCGCAACGGGAGGAGCGUGCGGUUUAAUUGGACUCAACGCCGGAAAUCUCACCGGAUAGGACAGACAUAUGAUAGUCGGGCUGAAGACUCUACUUGAUGAUCUGAGAGGAGGUGCAUGGCGUAGACGUCU